rnacentral:lncRNA from 1 species
AAAGUCCUAAUGCUAGUUGAUUGAAAAAUUAAUAUGAGUAUGGAUGAGAUUAGGUCACUCCUUUUGCAUAUUUUUUGUGUGUGAUAUGUUUAAUGAGCAUAGUUCAUAAUACUGUAACACCCCAAAAUUUGCCCUCCUCAUUCAUGCAUUCAUUUAGCAUUUCAUAUUGCAUUUCAUCAUGUCAAUCAGAAUUAGAUCCAAGAAACUUUUUUUAAAAAAAAAGAAGAAAAAAAAAUUAAAAAAAAUUAAAAAAAA